rnacentral:tRNA from 1 species
GGAAGCAGAACUCGAUAGGUAGAGUGUCUCACUUUUAAUGGGAAUGGUUUCGGUUCGACUCCGAAUGCUUUCA